UUGGGCACUCUAGCGAGACUGCCGGUAAUAAACCGGAGGAAGGUGGGGAUGACGUCAAAUCAUCAUGCCCCUUAUGACCUGGGCUACACACGUGCUACAAUGGUUGGUACAACGAGUUGCGAGUCGGUGACGGCGAGCUAAUCUCUUAAAGCCAAUCUCAGUUCGGAUUGUAGGCUGCAACUCGCCUACAUGAAGUCGGAAUCGCUAGUAAUCGCGGAUCAGCACGCCGCGGUGAAUACGUUCCCGGGCCUU
rnacentral:rRNA from 1 species